UGUCGAAAUGUGUCGUGAGGCUAAGGCGGGCACGCAAGUGCCUAUCAAGAUUUAAUUGUGAUGUAAGUGAGGUCGCGACAUCUAACCUUCGAGGCGACUUGGGGUUAUAUGGUCAAGCGAAUAAGCGCACACGGUGGAUGCCUUGGCGGUCAGAGGCGAUGAAGAACGCAG
rnacentral:misc_RNA from 1 species